rnacentral:rRNA from 1 species
GAUGAACGCUGGCGGCGUGCCUAAUACAUGCAAGUCGAGCGAACAGACGAGGAGCUUGCCCCUCUUACGUUAGCGGCGGACGGGUGAGUAACACGUGGAUAACCUACCUAUAAGACUGGGAUAACUUCGGGAAACCGGAGCUAAUACCGGAUAAUAUAUUGAACCGCAUGGUUCAAUAGUGAAAGACGGUUUUGCUGUCACUUAUAGAUGGAUCCGCGCCCCAUUAGCUAGUUGGUGAGGUAACGGCUUACCAAGGCGACGAUGCGUAGCCGAUCUGAGAGGAUGACCAGCCACACUGGAACUGAGACACGGUCCAGACUCCUACGGGAGGCAGCAGUGGGGAAUAUUGCACAAUGGGCGAAAGCCUGACGGAGCAAUGCCGCGUGUAUGAUGAAGGUCUUCGGAUCGUAAAACUCUGUCAUCGGGGAGGAACAAAUGUGUAAUUAACUAUGCACGUAUUGACGGUACCUACAGAGAAAGCCACGGCUAACUCCGUG